UUUACUUGUUUGUGUUUGUACUCAGAAGAUAAAACCUGUAAAUACAGAAGAGUUUGGGGCUUUCGGCGGGCACCGCGAGGCCUGGGGCUCCAGGGAGCCGCCCGCCGAAGCAACGAUGGGUAUGUUCACAAAGGUUUGGAGUUUGGUAACUCGGUAAUGAUCCCUCCGCUGGUUCACCAACGGAGA
rnacentral:misc_RNA from 1 species